rnacentral:rRNA from 1 species
UGGGUUAGUGGCGGACGGGUGAGUAACGCGUGGGUAACCUGCCUUACACAGGGGGAUAACACUUAGAAAUAGGUGCUAAAACCGCAUAAGCGCACAGCUUCGCAUGAAGCGGUGUGAAAAACUCCGGUGGUGUAAGAUGGACCCGCGUCUGAUUAGCUUGUUGGCGGGGUAACGGCCCACCAAGGCGACGAUCAGUAGCCGGCCUGAGAGGGCGGACGGCCACAUUGGGACUGAGACACGGCCCAAACUCCUACGGAAGGCAGCAG